AGUGAACGCUGGCGGUAGGCCUAACACAUGCAAGUCAAACGGCAGCACAGUAAGAGCUUGCUCUUACGUGUGGCGAGUGGCGGACGGGUGAGGAAUACAUCGGAAUCUACUUUUUCGUGGGGGGGAACGUAGGGAAACUUACGCUAAUACCGCAUACGACCUACGGGUGAAAGCAGGGGAUCUUCGUACCUUGCGCGAUUGAAUGAGCCGAUGUCGGAUUAGCUAGUUGGCGGGGCAAAGGCCCACCAAGGCGACGAUCCGUAGCUGGUCUGAGAGGAUAAUAAGCCACACUAGAACUGAGACACGGUGCAGACUCCUACGGGAGGCAGCAGUGGGGAGUAUUGGACAAUGGGAGCAAGCAUGAUCCAGACAUACCGCGUGGGUGAAGAAGGCCUUCGGGUUGUAAAGCCCUUUUGUUGGGAAAGAAAAGCAGCAGGUUAAUACCCCGCUGUUCUGACGGUACCCAAAGAAUAAGCACCGGCUAACUUCGUG
rnacentral:rRNA from 1 species